rnacentral:rRNA from 1 species
GGUAUUUUGACCGUGCAAAGGUAGCAUAAUCAUUAGUUUUUUAAUUGAAAGCUGGAAUGAAAGGUUGGAUGAAAAAUAAGCUGUCUCUAUUUAAAUUUAUUAGAAUUUUAUUUUUAAGUUAAAAAGCUUAAAUUUUAAUAGAAGACGAGAAGACCCUGUAGAGUUUUAUUUGUUUAAUAAAUAAAAAUAAUAGUAUUAAUUAUUUUUAUUUAUUAAAUAAAUUUAGUUGGGGUGAUUGAAAAAUUUAAUGAACUUUUUUUAUAUAUAUACAUUGAUUUAUGAUUAUUUGAUCCUUAGUUUAAGAUUAAAAGAUAAAAUUACCUUAGGGAUAACAGCGUAAUUUUUUUUGAGAGUUCUAAUCGAAAGAAAAGAUUGCGACCUCGAUGUUGGAUUAAAAUAAAAUUUUGGUGUAGAAGCUAAAA